rnacentral:rRNA from 1 species
CCUACGGGUGGCUGCAGUGAGGAAUAUUGCGCAAUGGGGGAAACCCUGACGCAGCAACGCCGCGUGAGUGAGGAAGGUUUUCGGACCGUAAAGCUCUGUCGAGCGGGAAGAAGUGCAUGGUGGCUAAUAUCCAUUAUGCUUGACGGUACCGCUAAAGGAAGCACCGGCUAACUCCGUGCCAGCCGCCGCGGUAAUACGGGGGGUGCUAGCGUUCGUCGGAAUCGUGUGGGGGGCUGGGUGUGUAGGAUGUGAAAGCCCUGGGCUUAACCUAGGAAGUGCAUUUGAAACUGUUCAGCUUGAGUAAGGUAGAGGAAAGUGGAAUUCCUGGUGUAGAGGUGAAAUUCGUAGAUAUCAGGAGGAACACCGGUGGCGAAGGCGACUUUCUGGCCCUAUACUGACGCUGAGACGCGAGAGCGUGGGUAGCAAACAGGAUUAGAUACCCCUGUAGUC